GACGAGGGGUCCUAGCGUUGUUCGGAAUCAUUGGGCGUAAAGCGUAUGUAGGCGGCAUUGUAAGUCAGGUGUGAAAGCCCUGGAUUCAAUCCAGGAAGUGCAUCUGAUACUGCUUUGCUUGAAUAUAAGAGAGGAUGGCAGAAUUCCUGGUGUAGUGGUGAAAUACGUAGAUAUCAGGAGGAAUACCGGUGGUGAAGACGGCUAUCUGGCUUCAUAUUGACGCUGAGAUACGAAAGCGUGGGGAUCAAACAGG
rnacentral:rRNA from 1 species